rnacentral:tRNA from 1 species
GACCGCGUAGCUCAGUUGACAGAGCAUUGGGCUAGUAUUCCAAAGGUCGUAGGUUCGAUUCCCACCGUGGACA